rnacentral:rRNA from 1 species
UACAGAGGUGGCAAGCGUUGUUCGGAAUUACUGGGCGUAAAGGGCGCGUAGGCGGUCUUGUAAGUCUUGUGUGAAAUCCCUCGGCUCAACUGAGGAACUGCACGGGAUACUGCGAGACUUGAGUUCGGGAGAGGGAAGCGGAAUUCCGGGUGUAGCGGUGAAAUGCGCAGAUAUCAGGAGGAACACCGGUGGCGAAGGCGGGUCUCUGGGCCGAUACUGACGCUGAGGAGCGAAAGCAUGGGGAGCGAACAGG